UAACCAUGCUGAUGACAUCUUCUAAGUAAGUCUUUGAAUCUCUCCCAAGCUUCAUAGAGUGGUUCGAAGUCUGCUUGUCUAAAACCAAUUUCACUUUGUAAUUGAGCUA
rnacentral:snoRNA from 1 species